rnacentral:rRNA from 1 species
AACGAACGCUGGCGGCAGGCUUAACACAUGCAAGUCGAACGCAUCCUUCGGGGUGAGUGGCAGACGGGUGAGUAACGCGUGGGAACGUGCCCAUCAGUUCGGGAUAACCCAGGGAAACUUGGGCUAAUACCGGAUACGUGCGAGAGCAGAAAGAUUUAUCGCUGAAGGAUCGGCCCGCGUCGUAUUAGCUAGUUGGUGGGGUAAUGGCCCACCAAGGCGACGAUCAGUAGCUGGUCUGAGAGGAUGAUCAGCCACAUUGGGACUGAGACAAGGCCCAAACUCCUACGGGAGGCAGAAGUGGGGAAUAUUGGACAAUUGGCGCAAGCCUGAUCCAGCCAUGCCGUGUGAGUGAUGAAGGCAUUAGGGUUGUAAAGCUCUUUCGUCCGGGACGAUAAUGACGGUACCGGAAGAAGAAGCCCCGGCUAACUUCGUGCCAGCCGCCGCAGUAAUAC